CAGGGAUUGGCUCAGCGUGGAUAUCAGGGCCCUGUGGCCUUGAAUUGUAGUCUUGAGAUGUGCCGCCAAUGGAGGCGUAGCAUGUAAGCCUCUUGGAAAAGAGCAGCAGAGAGGGUGAGACUCCUGUCUGUCAUCCGCAGUCCUCCAUGUAUGGCGUAUUUUCUGAGAGUCACGUUCCUCGGGAUUGGAGCGCAAAGAGGGUGGUAAAUUUCAUCUACAGCUACAUACAGAUUCAAGACCGAUAGCAAACAAGUACCAUGAGGGAAAGAUGAAAAGGACUUUGAAAAGAGAGUUAAAAGUGCCUGAAAUUGCUGGAAGGGAAGCGAAUCGAACCAGUCUCUGAAGGCAAGAUUGCUCUGUGCGAAUGCCGCAACCAGCUGUGUGAGUGAAAACCAUGUGGCUGGCUGUGAGUUGUACGCAUGGGGUGUCUCUUGUCUACGAUGUCAGCAAGAGCUCACAAGCAUGGACGACUCCAAAGACAUGGGAGCAAGCCUUCGGGUGAGCGAAUGUGUUUGGUAGAACCAGCUUGUGAUCUAGGUUUGUCGUGUCUGAGUGGAAUGCUGCACUGAGUCUGCAUUUCUUGUGUGCACGUGGUGCAG
rnacentral:rRNA from 1 species